rnacentral:misc_RNA from 1 species
CUAGUAGCUGGACAGUACCAA